GCCGAGGUAGCUCAACGGUAGAGCGCAGCUUUCGUAAAGCUGAGGUUGAGGGUUCAAUUCCCUUCUUCGGCU
rnacentral:tRNA from 1 species